rnacentral:rRNA from 1 species
GGCUUAGAGUUUGAUCAUGGCUCAGGAUGAACGCUGGCGGCGUGCUUAACACAUGCAAGUCGAGCGAAGCACUCUGUAUGAAGUUUUCGGAUGGAUUACAGUUUGACUGAGCGGUGGACGGGUGAGUAACGCGUGGGCAACCUGCCUUACACAGGGGGAUAACAGUUAGAAAUGACUGCUAAUACCGCAUAACCCGCUAGGGCCGCAUGGCCCGGACGGAAAAGAUUUAUCGGUGUAAGAUGGACCCGCGUCUGAUUAGCUAGUUGGUGAGGUAAAGGCCCACCAAGGCGACGAUCAGUAGCCGACCUGAGAGGGUGAUCGGCCACAUUGGGACUGAGACACGGCCCAAUCUCCUACGGGAGGCAGCAGUGGGGAAUAUUGCACAAUGGGGGAAACCCUGAUGCAGCAACGCCGCGUGAGUGAAGAAGUAUUUCGGUAUGUAAAGCUCUAUCAGCAGGGAAGAAAAUGACAGUACCUGACUAAGAAGCCCCGGCUAACUACGUGCCAGCAGCCGCGGUAAUACGUAGGGGGCAAGCGUUAUCCGGAUUUACUGGGUGUAAAGGGAGCGUAGACGGUGGGAUAAGUCAGAAGUGAAAGCCCGGGGCUCAACCCCGGGACUGCUUUGGAAACUGUUUAUCUAGAGUGCUGGAGAGGUAAGUG